GACGAACGCUGGCGGCGUGCCUAAUACAUGCAAGUCGAGCGCAGGAAGCUGACGGAACUCUUCGGAGGGAAGGCAGCGGAAUGAGCGGCGGACGGGUGAGUAACACGUAAGGAACCUGCCUCAAGGAUUGGGAUAACUCCGAGAAAUCGGAGCUAAUACCGGAUAGUUCAACGGACCGCAUGGUCCGCUGAUGAAAGGCGCUUCGGCGUCACCUUGAGAUGGCCUUGCGGUGCAUUAGCUAGUUGGUGGGGUAACGGCUCACCAAGGCGACGAUGCAUAGCCGACCUGAGAGGGUGAUCGGCCACACUGGGACUGAGACACGGCCCAGACUCCUACGGGAGGCAGCAGUAGGGAAUCUUCCACAAUGGACGAAAGUCUGAUGGAGCAACGCCGCGUGAGUGAUGAAGGUUUUCGGAUCGUAAAACUCUGUUGUAAGGGAAGAACACGUACGAGAGGAAAUGCUCGUACCUUGACGGUACCUUACGAGAAAGCCACGGCUAACUACGUGCCAGCAGCCGCGGUAACAC
rnacentral:rRNA from 1 species